rnacentral:rRNA from 1 species
UACGGGGGGGGUAAGCGUUGUUCGGAAUUACUGGGCGUAAAGGGCUCGUAGGCGGCCAACUAAGUCGGACGUGAAAUCCCUCAGCUUAACUGGGGAACUGCGUCUGAUACUGGAUGGCUUGAGUUUGGGAGAGGGAUGCGGAAUUCCAGGUGUAGCGGUGAAAUGCGUAGAUAUCUGGAGGAACACCGGUGGCGAAGGCGGCAUCCUGGACCAACACUGACGCUGAGUGAGCGAAAGCUAGGGGAGCAAACGGG